GCUCUCCCCUUGCCCCUUUGUCGAAGCAAUAGGAAAGGACAAGGCCACCAACCCAUGAUGAUGCACUCACAGCUGCCCAGGCCUCCCUGAUCCUCCCUCGCAUGUCCUUAUACUGCCAUCAGUGGCACCACUCGAGAUCAAUGCCAUGAGAUGGAUGCUACUAAUUAGGGAGUAGGUUUAUAUACGUUUGAAGGUUGCAGCUCACAAAACAAUUCGGUGGUUUUUGAUAGUUGGAUAAAAUAUGGGUUAAAGCAUUGUUAGUAGAAGGAAAGAAGCACAACGUCAAGCUGCAGAGAUAUCUUGAAGAAACCAGGCCGGGCGGUGGGCUAACUCACCACGUGGCGUUGCUUUUGGGUGCAAAGCAGAUGAAAAAUCAAGAUUGGUCUACGGUCAAUCCACUUUUUGCAAGGGGCACUGGAGGAGGGCAAGCUGAUCAGCAUGAAUGGCAACAGCUCUCAACCACAAUCAGCCGUAACAGCAAGACACACAUGGAUCAUCAACUGGCCACUCUGCGGCAUCCAUGCUGCGCAGCGCCAGCAUGCUUGGCGACAGCAUUCUCCUCAUCAUAGCGCUCUGCUUCCACUCCACGAUAGCCCGCUGAGAUUUGACCUAUUGCAUUUCAAAGAUUUGAUCUAUUAAAAGUGCGGUGAACAGGAGGUGGAUAGUCAUCUUUCUUUAUUGUGAUCAGGCUUGAUCGUUCAGUAAUGAAAUCCCCCUGAAGGUGAAAGUUGUGCGAUAUUGCGAUGCUACUGAACCAUUUUUAUUACCAGCUUGUUGUGUUCAUGUGUCCAGUCGAGCUUGUGGGGGAGGGCAGCAACGGGAGUAGGGUACAACGAGCUCGCGGAUCCUAGAACAUGUUAAAGGAGUAGAGCUUGCGCUCAGUGGGAUGGUUGGCCACCGGCGUGAAGCAAAAAAGCUGAGGAGGACCUGUCAGGAGGUUGGGACAAUGAUGCCCUGUAGUCUUUGGUGGCAGAGGAUGCUGGCAGGGCACAAGAUUGCAGCAGAUGAAGAUGGCGUGGCGUUCAAACCUUGGGAAGUAAGUGACUAUUGUUUCUUGUGCUUCCUAAUGUUAUCCUUUGUUUACCAAAUUAUCACGGAGAAACUUUGUUCUU